UACGAAGGGGGCUAGCGUUGUUCGGAAUUACUGGGCGUAAAGCGCACGUAGGCGGAUUUGUAAGUCAGGGGUGAAAUCCCGGGGCUCAACCUCGGAACUGCCUUUGAUACUGCAAGUCUUGAGUCCGAUAGAGGUGAGUGGAAUUCCUAGUGUAGAGGUGAAAUUCGUAGAUAUUAGGAAGAACACCAGUGGCGAAGGCGGCUCACUGGCCCGAUACUGACGCUGAGGCACGAAAGCGUGGGGAGCAAACAGG
rnacentral:rRNA from 1 species